GAAUUUGAGAUUUCUUUCUUUUUUAAUAAAAUCAAAGUAAAUUUAAACUUUUUGGAUUUUGUUUAUGGGAUUCAUGGUUUGUUUCCAUGGAUUAUAGAUGCUUUCUUUCUUUGUUGCUUGUUUGGGAGAAAGAGAAAAGGGAGGCGGUAAUUUUAUCCGAAGCUCUGAAUCAAUACAAAAUCUUAGGUGUAACCGGGUGUAUAUAUCAGUAUUCCUUUUUUUUUUCUCUGGCAAGCAUACUCCCGAUUGUACCUAUUGUUUCCCCAAAUGAUUUCAUGGAAUUUUAGUUUGUGUUAAUGGAUGCUAAUUAACAAGAUAAUUCAAUCUUUAUGUAUGAUUGUUUAUCUUAAUUUGUUGUUUUCUUCCAUCAUCACAGAUGCAGCGUCACCAGGCACUUCACCUUCUAACAGUAGUUCUUCCUCAGGCAACUCUCCCGGAGGUACAGAGAGUGCAGCUUACGCACCGUCAGCGCCCGGCAGAUCGGGCAUUGCUGCCGUCUUCAUGGCUUUGAUCAUUGCAGCAUUUUAGGGUUGUCAGUUUAGUUAAUCAUCAGACAUAAGCUAUAUUAUCAAAUUAAUGAUUAUUGUAAUCUAAUGACAAUGCUAUUUCUUUUGACUUC